rnacentral:rRNA from 1 species
UAGGUGGCAAACGUUAUCCGGAAUUAUUGGGCGUAAAGGGUGCGUAGAUGGUGUGAUAAGUUAGCAGUGGGAAAUCGAGGCUCAACCUCGUGGAAGCUGGUAAUACUAUCAUGCUAGAGUGUAGGAGAGGUUAACGGAACUCCCCGUGGAGCGGUGAAAUGCAUAGAUAUGGGGAAGAACACCAAUAAAGGCGAAGGCAGUUAACUAUUCUACUACUGACAUUGAGGCACGAAAGCGUGGGGAGCAAAACGGAUUAGAUACCCGUGUAGUCCACGCCCUAAACGAUGAGUACUAGAUAUUGGGAACUUGAUUCUCAGUGUCGCUAGGUAACCCGGUAAGUACUCCGCCUGGGUAGUACGGUCGCAAGGCUG